rnacentral:rRNA from 1 species
UACGUAGGGGGCAAGCGUUGUCCGGAUUUAUUGGGCGUAAAGAGCGUGUAGGCGGCCAGGUAGGUCAGCUGUGAAACUCGAGGCUCAACCUCGAGACGUCGGUUGAAACCAUCUGGCUAGAGUCCGGAAGAGGAGAGUGGAAUUCCUGGUGUAGCGGUGAAAUGCGCAGAUAUCAGGAAGAACACCCGUGGCGAAGGCGGCUCUCUGGGACGGUACUGACGCUGAGACGCGAAAAGCGUGGGGGAGCGAACAGG